AGAGUUUGAUCAUGGCUCAGAGCGAACGCUGGCGGCGUGCUUAACACAUGCAAGUCGAGUGCGCGCCUGUAGCAAUACAGGUGGCGCACGGCGCACGGGUGCGUAACACGUGGGUAAUCUGCCCUUCGAUGGGGAAUAACUCCGGGAAACCGAAGCUAAUUCCGCAUAACAUUCCUUGAACUUCGGUUUGGGGACUCAAAGCCGUAAGGCGUCGGAGGAGGAACCCGCGCACGAUUAGCUAGUUGGUAGGGUAACGGCCUACCAAGGCUUUGAUCGUUAGCUGGUCUGAGAGGAUGGCCAGCCACACUGGAACUGAGACACGGUCCAGACUCCUACGGGAGGCAGCAGUGGGGAAUCUUGCACAAUGGGCGAAAGCCUGAUGCAGCGACGCCGCGUGGGGGAUGAAGCUUUUCGGAGUGUAAACCCCUUUCGACCCGGACGAAUGUCCCGCAAGGGAACUGACGGUACGGGUAUAAGAAGCCCCGGCUAACUACGUGCCAGCAGCCGCGGUAAGACGUGGGGGGCCAGCGUUGCUCGGAAUUACUGGGUGUAAAGGGUUCGUAGGCGGUGUAGCAAGUCGGGAGUGAAAUCUCUGGGCUCAACCCAGAGACUGCUUCCGAAACUGCUGUGCUUGAGUGUGGGAGAGGCGCGUGGAAUUGCAGGUGUAGCGGUGAAAUGCGUAGAUAUCUGCAGGAACACCCGUGGCGAAAGCGGCGCGCUGGACCACUACUGACGCUGAGGAACGAAAGCUAGGGGAGCAAACAGGAUUAGAUACCCUGGUAGUCCUAGCCCUAAACGAUCAGGACUUGGGGUGCCGCACGUUCGUGCGUCGUCCCGGAGCUAACGCGUUAAGUCCUGCACCUGGGGAGUACGGUCGCAAGACUGAAACUCAAGGAAUUGACGGGGGCCCGCACAAGCGGUGGAACAUGUGGUUCAAUUCGACGCUACGCGAGGAACCUUACCUGGGGCUCGAAGCGC
rnacentral:rRNA from 1 species